rnacentral:lncRNA from 1 species
UCUUUCACCAGGUGCUGGGUGUGGUGGUACAUGCCUAUAGUCCCAGCUACUCAGGAGGCUGAAGCAGGAGGAUCACUUGAGCCCAGGAGCUGGAGGCCAACCUGAACAACAGAGUAAGUACCCUGUCUCAAAAAGCAAGCCAACAGAUAUCUCUUGCACCUUAAAACACAGCCAACCAUGAUUCGGGUACUACAGUGAUGCAUGCCUGUAAUCUCAGCGGCUCAGAGGGCUGAAGCAGGAGGAUGGCAAGGCCAAAGCCAUCCUCAGCAACUUAGUGAGGCCCUGUCUCAAAAUAAAAAAGAAAAGGGCAGGGAUUGUGGCUCAGCGGUAGAGCACUCGCCUAGCAUGGGCAGGACCCGGGUUCAAUUCUCAGCAACACAUAAAAAUAAAGGCAUUGUGUUGUGUCCAUCUACACCUAAAAAAUAAAUAUUAAUAAAUAAAUAAAAAUAAAUAAAAAAGAAAAGAUACAAAAAGGGCUGGGGAUGUGGAUCGGUAGUUAAGCACCCCUGUGUUCAAUCACUGGUACUUAAACACACACACGCACGCACACACACACACACGCACACACACACAGAGCCAACCAACAAUGAAUUCUCUCUUUCACAUAUAGCAUGACUUCUCAUCUCCUUCAUAGCCAAUUCUGGAAAGAAUUAUCUAACCUAACAGUCUCAAUUUUCUUGCCGGCUUUUCCAGAACUCUACAGAAACUGCUUUUGCCAAAAUCAUGCCUGUAUAUUUUAAUCAAAGGACACUUGUAAGCCUCUUGCAGGCAGCAUUAGACAUGGUGAUUCCUUGGAACUUUCUUUUCCCUCAGCUCCUAUGACUCCACAGAAGCCUGACAUCCCUUCUUUCUCUCAGUGGUCACACUCCCUGGCUCUCCUUGCUGGGUGGCAAUCUCACCCGUGACUUCAAUUGCUGUCUCAGACCCUGCUGAUCUCCAAGUCUGUACCUCCAGCUUGUACAUGCUGUCUUCCUAAACUGAUGAUUGUAAAGCAACACAGUAUGAUUUCUAUAUUAGUCAGGGUUUCCUAUAAAAACAGAAUCAACAGGAAGUAUGAUUAUUAAAAGGUGAUUUAGCCAGGCACAGUGGCGCAUGCCUGUAAUCCCAGUGCUUGGGAGGCUGAGGCAGGAAGAUGGGGAGUUCAAAGCCAGCCUCAGUAACAGCGAGGUGCCUAGCAACUCAAUGAGACUCUGUCUCUAAAUAAAAUACAAAAUAGGGCUGGGGAUGUGGUUCAGUGGUUGAGUGCCCCUGAGUUCAAUCCCUGGUAUCGAAAAAAAAAAAAAGGGCUGAGAUUGUAGCUCAGUAGUAAAUCACCUCUGGGUUUAAUACUCAGUACCAGUAAGUAGUAAGUAAAUAAGGGCUGAGGAUGUAGCUCAGUGGUAGAGCCUUCAUUUAGCAUGUAUGAGGUCUUCAGUUUGAUCCCCAUCACUACCAUCCCAAUUGCUAAAAAGGGUUUCUGACUCCCAUAAUUUCAUGAACAGUUUUCUUUUAACAACAAAGCAGCCAAACAUGAAAAGACUUAUCAACUGCUCAGAUACAAGGUGUCUGAUUAGAAAGUCCUAAAGCUCCAGGAGUUUCUACUAGGACUCCCAGUGCACCAGGGAGAUAUAAUAUGGGUUUUCCCCUUAUACUAACUCUAGCAUAUUUAACUCCAUUAUAGGAAUCUUGAGAAUGAAAGACUAAACUAAGCACUUUUCUGUUUCAAACUCAGCAGUGAUGUCCCAUCAACUGUGAGGUUGAGGUCUCACGGAACC